rnacentral:rRNA from 1 species
UCGAGAGAGGUGAGUGGAAUUCCGAGUGUAGAGGUGAAAUUCGUAGAUAUUCGGAGGAACACCAGUGGCGAAGGCGGCUCACUGGCUCGAUACUGACGCUGAGGUGCGAAAGUGUGGGGAGCAAACAGGAUUAGAUACCCUGGUAGUCCACACCGUAAACGAUGAAUGCCAGUCGUCGGGUAGCAUGCUGCUCGGUGACACACCUAACGGAUUAAGCAUUCCGCCUGGGGAGUACGGUCGCAAGAUUAAAACUCAAAGGAAUUGACGGGGGCCCGCACAAGCGGUGGAGCAUGUGGUUUAAUUCGAAACAACGCGCAGAACCUUACCAACCCUUGACAUCCUGUGCCACUACCAGAGAUGGUACGUUCCCUUCGGGGACGCAGUGACAGGUGCUGCAUGGCUGUCGUCAGCUCGUGUCGUGAGAUGUUCGGUUAAGUCCGGCAACGAGCGCAACCCACAUCCUUAGUUGCCAGCAGUUCGGCUGGGCACUCUAGGGAAACUGCCCGUGAUAAGCGGGAGGAAGGUGUGGAUGACGUCAAGUCCUCAUGGCCCUUACGGGUUGGGCUACACACGUGCUACAAUGGCAGUGACAAUGGGUUAAUCCCCAAAAGCUGUCUCAGUUCGGAUUGGGGUCUGCAACUCGACCCCAUGAAGUCGGAAUCGCUAGUAAUCGCGUAACAGCAUGACGCGGUGAAUACGUUCCCGGGCCUUGUACACACCGCCCGUCACAUCAUGGGAGUUGGUUCUACCCGACGACGCUGCGCUAACCUUCGGGAGGCAGGCGGCCACGGUAGGAUCAAAGAGGGGGAUGAAGUCGUAACAAGGUAACCGUA